rnacentral:rRNA from 1 species
AACCUCCGCAAUGUGAGAAAUCGCGACGGGGGGAUCCCAAGUGCCAUUCUUAACGGGAUGGCUUUUCAUUAGUGUAAAGAGCUUUUGGAAUAAGAGCUGGGCAAGACCGGUGCCAGCCGCCGCGGUAACACCGGCAGCUCUAGUGGUAACAAUUUUUAUUGGGCCUAAAGCGUCCGUAGCCGGUUUAAUAAGUCUCUGGUGAAAUCCUGCAGCUUAACUGUGGGAAUUGCUGGAGAUACUAUUAGACUUGAGACCGGGAGAGGUUAGAGGUACUCCCAGGGUAGAGGUGAAAUUCUGUAAUCCUGGGAGGACCGCCUGUUGCGAAGGCGUCUAACUGGAACGGUUCUGACGGUGAGGGACGAAAGUUAGGGGCGCGAACCGGAUUAGAUACCCGGGUAGUCCUAACUGUAAACGAUGCGGACUUGGUGUUGGGGUGGCUUUGAGCUGCUUCAGUGCCGAAGGGAAGCGUGUAAGUCCGCCGCCGUGGGAGUACGGUCGCAAGACUGAAACUUAAAGGAAUU